UACGUAGGGUGCAAGCGUUGUCCGGAAUUAUUGGGCGUAAAGAGCUCGUAGGCGGUUUGUCGCGUCGAAUGUGAAAACCCGGGGCUCAACCCCGGGCCUGCAUUCGAUACGGGCAGACUAGAGUUCGGUAGGGGAGUCUGGAAUUCCUGGUGUAGCGGUGAAAUGCGCAGAUAUCAGGAGGAACACCGGUGGCGAAGGCGGGACUCUGGGCCGAUACUGACGCUGAGGCUCGAAAGCGUGGGGAGCAAACAGG
rnacentral:rRNA from 1 species